CUAAGACUCAGGGCCGGAUUAACGUCGCGCGAGGCCCGUGGCAGAUUUUAGCGCGACCACCCCGUUAUGAAUUCCCUUGAAUUCAAAGACACACAAAAUUGUUAAAUAAUUGCUUUCAAUAUUUCAAUUGAUUGGCAUCAAUUAUAAACAAUUGCCUGCCUGGCCCAGUUGUUGGGUCAACAAGUAAACAGGAUCAUAUAUAACAGAUCAGCGCAACUGGAGAUUACAUGCAUACGAGUAUUGUAUAUUUUCCUGAGGGUAAACUGCCAAUCCUAGGGGCCCCAAAUGCGCGAGGUCCCUAAUUCGCGAGGCACCUAAAAUGGGCGUGUCCCAAUAGAAAAUAGGCGUGUUCUCGUAAAAUUGGGCGUGGCACAGUAAAGCGCGAGGCCCCAAUAAGCGCGAGGCCCCAAUAAGCGCGAGGCCCCAAUAAGCGCGAGGCCCCAAUAAGCGCGAGGCCCCAAUAAGCGCGAGGCCCCAAUAAGCGCGAGGCCCGUGGCAUUUGCCGCAUCUGUCACGUGGUUAAUCCGGCCCUGCUAAGACUAAGUCAGUUUCCUCAAACAUUUCAUACACGUCCUUCAAAACUUAGUCUUAGAAUUAACCUCCGCAAAAUUCCUGUGAUCACAAACUUUGACAGUGUAAAGCAGGCUUAUCUCAGAGUAAACAAUGUUUCAAAGCGUUCUUGCAAGUACCAGAUGUAGGAAUAGAAGAAUGUCUGUUCGUUGACACAGUUAACAGACUGAGACAACUCGCUUGUGACGGUUUUUAAUUCAAUUGACUAGUCAUUCUGUACGUGACUUAUUUGGAAUCCAGUGUAGUCACUGAAAUAUUCCUGUGUAAAUAUUUUGUAAAUAAAUAAAUAAGGAAAGAUGGAAAAAGACACUCAAUGGUGACAAUUAUUUAAGUUGAUACAACUAUCUUGUUAAUACCAGGAUUAAUGCACGUAAAAUAUCUUAGAUUGCUGACAUCGGAUCCAGGGACGCCGGAACGAUGUGAAGGCAAGGGCGGCAGAUUUUCGUGAAAGGGCACUUCUGAAUUGAUAUAUACUAAUAGAUGUUUGCAAAACAUCGGGAGUUGAACUUCGCCUAAUCAUGUUUUCUAUUUAUUGGAUGAUAGGCGUGUCCUCGGGUUCUCCGCCAGGUGAUUGUGCUAUUCUUGAAGCUCGAUGAUGGCAUUUCUUGCGUUUUCUGAAGCAAAUUCGUAAAAGAAUUGCACUAACAUUUCUGACAAUUCUCUAUUUCGCCAAGGCAAUCCUUUAAAUUGAAAGGGCACCUUUGCCCCCCUUGCCCCUCCUGGUAAAGGGCAACGGGGGCGGCUGCCCCUCUAGCCUCCAGUUCCGGUGUCCCUGAUUGGAUCUAACACAAAAUAGUACCUCAUUGCCCACAGAUUACCUGUGGUGAACAAAAAGU